rnacentral:rRNA from 1 species
CAGCAGCCGCGGGAAAACGUAGGGUGCGAGCGUUAAUCGGAAUUACUGGGCGUAAAGCGUGCGCAGGCGGUUUUGUAAGACAGGCGUGAGAUCCCCGGGCUCAACCUGGGAAUGGCGCUUGUGACUGCAAAGCUAGAGUGCGGCAGAGGGGGAUGGAAUUCCGCGUGUAGCAGUGAAAUGCGUAGAUAUGCGGAGGAACACCGAUGGCGAAGGCAAUCCCCUGGGCCUGCACUGACGCUCAUGCACGAAAGCGUGGGGAGCAAACAGGAUUAGAUACCCCCGUAGUCCCUGUCUCUUAUAC